rnacentral:rRNA from 1 species
AGGGAAUCUUCCGCAAUGGACGAAAGUCUGACGGAGCAACGCCGCGUGAGUGAAGAAGGUUUUCGGAUCGUAAAACUCUGUUGUUAGGGAAGAACAAGUCAGGUAGUAACUGACCUGACCUUGACGGUACCUAACCAGAAAGCCACGGCUAACUACGUGCCAGCAGCCGCGGUAAUACGUAGGUGGCAAGCGUUGUCCGGAUUUAUUGGGCGUAAAGCGCUCGCAGGCGGUCUUUUAAGUCUGAUGUGAAAGCCCACGGCUUAACCGUGGAGGGUCAUUGGAAACUGGAGGACUUGAGUGCAGAAGAGGAGAGUGGAAUUCCAUGUGUAGCGGUGAAAUGCGUAGAGAUAUGGAGGAACACCAGUGGCGAAGGCGACUCUCUGGUCUGUAACUGACGCUGAGGAGCGAAAGCGUGGGUAGCGAAC